GUGGACAUGAUUUCACGUAUCUCACAUUCUUGAGGGCAAGCUCGAAGAUGAACACUUUUCACUGCUCCAGUAAAAUGUAUGCAUGUCUCUAUUAAAGCUGUGUAAGAUACCUGAAGUGGUCUAAAUGGUGGCAGGUGGCAUGUGAUGUAUUUUCCAGGUCUUGUUAAUAAAUGCUAUUCUUCAUGACCAAUCAAUGUCAUUCUUACAGUUAAGUUUCAUUCAUUUAAUUCAUUUAAUUUUUAUUUUGUUUCAGUAUAUGGAGAGAAAAUUAAAUACUCAUUAUGGGUCAUUAAUUGGCAGUUUUCACCUUAAUACUUGAAACAUCAGGCUGUGCAUUCACCUGCAAAAUGCUAAGGAGCUCCAGCAUCUGAAAAGAACAAAACACUUCCCAUCUCAUUUUCUUAACUAAAGCCUCUUCUUGAUAAAGAUUUGUGUAAAGUCCAAACCUUCUCUGUUAGUGACUUCUUUUAUACGCCUGAAUGAUGCUGUAGCAAAUUGAAGACCUCCAUUUUCAGUUUGAGGAUCAGCACUGCAAGUUGGUUUUUUUUCAUCAUAAAAUGCUGAAAAUGUAAUUAAGAAAACUUCUCUACACAUUACUUAACAUAUUUUUAAUAAAGCAUUUUAGAAACCUGUGGGG